AUUGAACGCUGGCGGCAGGCCUAACACAUGCAAGUCGAGCGGAUGACGGGAGCUUGCUCCUUGAUUCAGCGGCGGACGGGUGAGUAAUGCCUAGGAAUCUGCCUGGUAGUGGGGGACAACGUUUCGAAAGGAACGCUAAUACCGCAUACGUCCUACGGGAGAAAGCAGGGGACCUUCGGGCCUUGCGCUAUCAGAUGAGCCUAGGUCGGAUUAGCUAGUUGGUGGGGUAAUGGCUCACCAAGGCGACGAUCCGUAACUGGUCUGAGAGGAGGAUCAGUCACACUGGAACGGGGACACGGUCCAGACUCCGACGGGAGGCAGCAGUGGGGAAUAUUGGACAAUGGGCGAAAGCCUGAUCCAGCCAUGCCGCGUGUGUGAAGAAGGUCUUCGGAUUGUAAAGCACUUUAAGUUGGGAGGAAGGGCAGUAAGUUAAUACCUUGCUGUUUUGACGUUACCGACAGAAUAAGCACCGGCUAACUCUGUGCCAGCCGCCGCCGUAA
rnacentral:rRNA from 1 species